rnacentral:rRNA from 1 species
UACGUAGGGUGCAAGCGUUGUCCGGAUUUAUUGGGCGUAAAGAGCUCGUAGGCGGUUUGUCGCGUCGGAUGUGAAAACCCAGGGCUCAACCCUGGGCCUGCAUUCGAUACGGGCAGACUAGAGUAUGGCAGGGGAGACUGGAAUUCCUGGUGUAGCGGUGAAAUGCGCAGAUAUCAGGAGGAACACCGGUGGCGAAGGCGGGUCUCUGGGCCAAAACUGACGCUGAGACGCGAAAGCGUGGGGAGCGAACAGG